GUUGGCAGGAGCUGGGACCAAGCAACGGGAGCUCACCCCGUCACAGGGAUUCAAACCGCCGACCUUCUGAUCAGCAAGCCCUAGGCUCAGUGGUUUAACCACAGCGCCACCUGGGUCCCUGAAAUAAGAACAGCCACAAAAUCUGCCUUUCUGCUGUGGGCAGGAAUAUUUCCUGCUGUCAUACAGUGGUACUUUGGUUCUCGAACAGCUUAAUUCACAAACAACUUGGAACCCAAACGCUGCAAAACUGGAAAUAGGUGUUCAAACUUUUUUUCGGAAGCCGAAUGUGCCCUGAUUUGGCCUCCGCUGCUGGGGGAAGAAGGCAUCGGCCGCGGGAGACCUUGCAGGUUGUACCAUGACCCCAAACCCCCACGAGGAACACUUACCUAACCAACAGCAAAGUCCAGCGAUGAACUCCAGGUAAGAAAACAAAGCACCAGCCCUUUACCGACCCUCACCCCAUCCCAGCUGGUAGCAAGGUGGGUAGCAUCUUGCCAGGUAAGCCUACCCACUCAGUAGGAGGGGGUGAGUGGAAAAAUUUGGGAUUCUGUCUCUUGCCUUUGUCUCUGCCUUGCUCCUUCAUUUUGGGGACUUUUGGGGAACUCUGCCUUGUGCCUUCGUUUUGGGGGCUGUGGAACACAGUUCAGCUACUGAUUGAUUGUGUGACUGUGGAAAUGGAUAAAAGCCCCCUAUCCAAAGAACGACUAUCAUCAGUGCAGGUAAGAAUUUUUUUAUCAUCUACAAUAUUGUCUUAUUUAUUUUACAGUACAGUAUAUUGAUUAUUGCCUUCAUUUUAUGGAUCGAUGGUCUCAUUAGAAAGUAAAAUUCAUGUUAAAUUGCUGUUUUAGGGGUUGUUUUUAAAAGUCUGGAACGGAUUAAUCCAUUUUGCAUUACUUUCUAUGGCAAAGUGCACCUUGGUUUUGGAACGGACUUCCGGAAUGGAUUAAGUUUGAGAACCAAGGUACCACUGUAUGUAGUUAAAUUAUAGGUAAGUAAGGCUGAGGUCUUGUCUAGCAGUGCCCUCUGCUGGUUGGGAUCACAAUGUGUAAUGGUAACAUAUAUAAUCAGGAGUGGUUACAGAAUACAGUGGUACCUCAGGUUAAGAACUUAAUUCGUUCUAGAGGUCCGUUCUUAACCUGAAACUGAGGUACCAUUUUAGCACGAUUUCUGUUCUCAUCCUGAGGUAAAGUUCUUAACCCGAGGUACUACUUCCAGGUUAGCGGAGUCUGUAACCCGAAGUGUUUGUAACGCGAGAUACCACUGUACAUUCAUUUGUAAAACCAAAAAGAAAAUGCCACUAUCAUGACACUGAUCUCCUCCCAUUUUAAUAUUCCUUUCCAAACACUUAACCGAAGUAAUGUAUUUUUGUCUUUCAUAAUUUUAGUGCUCUGGGUAACUUGAUUUUUUCUUCUUCUUCCAAAAGUGUACAAAACAAUUUCCUCCAGUUUAAUGUUGCUAUUUUAGUAUCUGCUUUCUGUAAGUUUUCUCUUUUUAUAUAUUUUUCUUACUGUGAUCGAUUAACCUUACUAUUGAUGGCAUGGAACCAUAUAUCUUUCCUUUACUUUUCAGAUCUGAGUCACCAACUCCCCCAUGCCACUUUAAUUGAAGUGACGAGGUACAGUUUAGUCUCAGUCUACCUUUCACAUACUUGGGAAACUCACGUUUUGCAUGCAUUUAUGCACUUGGUUUUCUGCUUCCAAGAUUAAUACUUUCCGAGGACAUGCCUUUCCUCUCCAACCCACCCAAAGCCAAAGCUUGGAGCAAAUGUUGCUUCAAUUCUUCUUCGCAUCUCCAUAGGCACCUGUGCAGCAGAUGACAUGCUGGUCUUAAUCAGUGAGAGCUGAGAUUUCGACAGUGCAGAUUGAUGGUUUAAAUUCUCUUAGGUCCCAACCCCCGCCAAUACUUGUAACGUUUCCAGCUGCCCUAGACACAUCCCACCCAAAUGGAUUGAGAUACUUUUCUAGAUCAUGUCUUCAACACCUUUCUGUGAAGAGGCUCUCUGGGACAUAAUCUGUACCAUCAGAGGAGCUGAUAUGUGCCCACCAUCCAUUUGGAGUUGCUGUUGCCCUACUUUGAAAAAGGUGGCUACAAGAGUGAGCAGAAAUGGUACAAGAGCACCUGAGAGCUCCAUUUAAUUUCCCCAACAUUAAGCCGAAUUGAUACUUUGGGGAAACUUAAGUCUUGUAAGAUGUUCCAAGCCAAAUCAUUCGUGUUCUUAUGCAACGUUCCAAUUAUGCAGGAAAUCUGGGCAUUCCGUGCCUACAACAUAUGAACAAAAAUCUUGCAAAACAUGAUAAUUACUUUCCCAUUAUCAGUCAAGACUGGGACGCGGAUGGUGCUGUGGUGUAAACCACAGAGCCUAGAGCUUGCCGAUCAGAAGGUCGGCGGUUUGAAUCCCUGCGACGGGGUGAGCUCCCGUUGUUCAGUCCCAGCUCCUGCCAACCUAGAAGUUCAAAAGCACAAGCAUGUCAAAGUGCAAGUAUAUAAAUAGGUACCGCUCCGGCAGGAAGGUAAACGGGUGUUUCCAUGCACUGCUCUGGUUUCGCCAGAAGCGGCUUAGUCAUGCUGGCCACAUGACCCGGAAAAACUGGCUGCGGACAAACGUUGGCUCCCUCGGCCUGUAAAGCGAGAUGAGCGCCGCAACCCCAGAGUCGUUCACGACUGGACAUAACUGUCAGGGGUCCUUUACCUUUACCUUUUUAUUAGUCAAGUAUUACUGAGAUUAGAUAACUAAUAAUUGAUACCCGAAAUUGCUUUCUCCCCUCAAUCCCUUUUUCAUUUUGUAUUCUAUUACACAGUGAGCAAGAACUAUCUGCUGCUUUACUCUCUACACCACUUAGUAAAUGUUAGUUUUUUGACUAAUAAAUAUUUAAACGAGUAAGCAAAGAGCUGAAGUUCCACACUGGUUUUUUUUUACAACUAGUUAUUUUUGUAAGCCAAGCUGGGAGCCCAAAGACUUAAGAUAUAAAAAUGUCUCAAGGGUUGUAGCUUAUUGCUGUGUGAGUGAAGUUAUGUUUGCAAAACAGGACCUUGGUUUCCUCCCCAGACACCCCCCCCCAAAUCUGCUCCUUCAGAGCUGAUUUCUGUGCAUGUGGGGGGCUGGAAGAGAGGAAAUUCUGUUGCGUGAGCAGAGCUACAGCAUUGGGUGUAGGCCAAAUUCUUCACUCCACAUUGUUUAGCUGGGAAAACUGCUAAUCAAUAACAUUCAGUAAAUUAUUUCUGGAACACAGCUUUACUAGAGCUGGUUAAUUCCAGUAGUAGGCAUAGCAUGAACAUUCCAUACAGGCAUUACUGGCCAUCAUGACUGGCGGUGGAGGCUUAAUGUUUCUUCACGUAAGUCUUCGUGGUCAUCAUGUUUCACUUAUUUAGUGUCAGUCUCCUAGACGUCUGAGGCAUCCAGUUCUGUUGGCUCUGCAUUUCCUUCUUGAUCUCAUCACAAAGUUGCCUUGGAUUUCAACCCCCUGUUUAACACUCAUUUCAGCUGCAGCAUUGGCCUUGCUUUCCAAGGUCUGCCCUAGUAGGAACAGCGAGUUCUGAGUGCUCUGAAAUGAUGCACAGCAAACCAGCACACAUGAACGGGCGAAGGCACAAAGCAAGUCUGAGUUAGAAAAGUACUUUAAUGGCAACCUAACAUAUUGUUCAAAGCAAUCACAUCCGCUUAAGUAGUCACUUGCCCUGACAGCAAUGACAAGGUGACGAACACGGUGUUCAUCUGUCUUUAGGGGUAUUGGUUUUCUUGCGUCUAGUGUGGUACCUUGAAGAAGAAAAGAGAAGAAACACAUUAAAAUGUAUUUUGUCAUAUGUUCAGUCAUUUAAACACUCAGUUUUAAGAGACCAGUGAUUGUCAUGUUGACAUUGUGUUUUUACGUUACAAUUAUUAUGCCUUGUAUAUUUGUCUGCCCAAUACAAAAAAAAAUCAAGUCUUCUGUAGUGCAAGAACACCCUGCAGUGUUUUGGUAGAUGGGCAAAUCCAACUUCCAGCAGCACACAACGGAUGAAAGUUCCCUAGGAGUCCUAUGUCCAAUCCUAUGCUUAGCUCAGCAUCAGGUUCUGUCUCUCUUGCUAGCUGUGCUAGAAAAGAGCUUGAUCAAGACUUCUGCUUCUAUGCUAAACUACAUCUACAGUGGCUGAACUGCAGAACCACAUGGCCAGAGACUGCUACACACAAUUCUAGGGGCUGUGUGUAGCAUAGGAAAAUAGGAAAUCUGUUUUCUACCUAAUCAGACCCUUGGUCCAUCCAGCUAAGUAACAUCCACAAUGUUUUGGAUGAGUCUAUUUGGUACCCUCAAAUUAAAGACAACCAUUCAAGGCCCCAUUACCCUGAGACCCUGACUUUUCCACAACUAUUUGGGCCUUUGUCAAAAUAAGGUUCCAACAGAUGUUGUCAGUAUACUUAGAGGGGAGAUACUUUGGAAUACCCCAUAUGGAACGGAAACACGUUUAUGGAUGUAAUCAGGUCA